rnacentral:rRNA from 1 species
GCCUAACACAUGCAAGUCGAACGGCAGCGCGAAGGAAGCUUGCUUUCUUUGGCGGCGAGUGGCGAACGGGUGAGUAAUGUAUCGGAACGUGCCCAGUAGCGGGGGAUAACUGGCCGAAAGGUCAGCUAAUACCGCAUACGCCCUACGGGGGAAAGGGGGGGAUCGCAAGACCUCUCACUAUUGGAGCGGCCGAUAUCGGAUUAGCUAGUUGGUGGGGUAAAGGCCUACCAAGGCGACGAUCCGUAGCUGGUUUGAGAGGACGACCAGCCACACUGGGACUGAGACACGGCCCAGACUCCUACGGGAGGCAGCAGUGGGGAAUUUUGGACAAUGGGGGGAACCCUGAUCCAGCCAUGCCGCGUGCGGGAAGAAGGCCUUCGGGUUGUAAACCGCUUUUGGCAGGAACGAAACGGCGCUCGCCAAUACCGAGCGCUAAUGACGGUACCUGCAGAAUAAGCACCGGCUAACUACGUGCCAGCAGCCGCGGUAAUAC